GUAGGGUGCAAGCGUUAAUCGGAAUUACUGGGCGUAAAGCGAGCGCAGGCGGUUAUUUAAGUCAGGUGUGAAAGCCCCGAGCUCAACUUGGGACGUGCAUUUGAAACUGGGUAACUAGAGUGUGUCAGAGGGGGGUAGAAUUCCACGUGUAGCAGUGAAAUGCGUAGAGAUGUGGAGGAAUACCGAUGGCGAAGGCAGCCCCCUGGGAUAACACUGACGCUCAUGCUCGAAAGCGUGGGUAGCAAAC
rnacentral:rRNA from 1 species